rnacentral:rRNA from 1 species
UGGAUCCUACGGGGGGCAGCAGUGGGGAAUAUUGGACAAUGGGGGGAACCCUGAUCCAGCGACGCCGCGUGAGUGAAGAAGUAUUUCGGUAUGUAAAGCUCUAUCAGCAGGGAAGAAAGAAAUGACGGUACCUGAGUAAGAAGCCCCGGCUAACUACGUGCCAGCAGCCGCGGUAAUACGUAGGGGGCAAGCGUUAUCCGGAUUUACUGGGUGUAAAGGGAGCGUAGACGGCAGUGCAAGUCUGGAGUGAAAGGCGGGGGCUCAACCCCCGGACUGCUCUGGAAACCGUACGGCUGGAGUGCAGG